rnacentral:pre_miRNA from 10 species
GGUGCCUGAGGAGAGGUGGCCUGUGUUGCAUUCACAGAAAUCAUGACACACAAGACACGAGCGGCCUCUCUUCAGUAUC